UACUCAAGGGGUGAAGAGAACUUUUCUCACAAAAAUUUUCACUAUUCAUCCCACUCUUUUCCUCAUAGACAUCCCUGAAGCAGAGGCAGAAGACAGAUUCUAGAACACUCUUUGAUGAUCUCUCAGGUGCCAUGUGCCCUGCAGCAGUGAUUGAGGCUCUGUCAGAGAGUGGUGAGCUUCUCUGUGAUAUGUGGUCAUCAUGACACCUCCCUAUUGACCCUGUCCUGGGAUCCAGGUCCUGGACCAGCCAUGUUAUGUACCAAUGUCUCCUGUCAUCCGCAUGAUAACUCCAUUCUAUAGGUGAGGAAACUGAGGCUUGGCAAGGCUAAGUAACUUACUCAAGGUCACACAGCUGGUAAAUAGCAAAACCAAGAUGUCCACCCUGUUUGACCUGUCCCAGCCCACAUUCCUGCCACUGUGCCACUCCCCUUUGUAAUGGGGCAAGCAUUGGCCUGGAAUUCAAGAUUCCAGCUCUGAGCCAAGUGAUGGACUUUCCUGAUGGACCUCCGCUUUAUCACUUUGUAAAUGGAAGGAGGAAAGGCCACCCUCCCACUGCCCAGGCAACUCUGAAUAUGAGAAGAGCAGUCAGCCAUUUGAAGAGUGCUAUUUAACUCAUUACAGAGAACAGUCCUUUUGAAUCUAUGAGAAUUUUCUGGAAGUCACAUGUCAUUUUCACUUUCACCUAUUAAAACCGAAGCUUACAUUCAGCUUUUUUAAAAGCUUCCCUGUGCAGAGGCGGCCAGCAGCCAGCGGCACAGGCUGGGUCUCAGGCCUGUGCUGAAGGUCAACCCUCUCUGGAAUCAUAAACCAGCUCAGCAAGCUACAGUCUUGGGCUCAAACCUGAACUUACUUUGAAAGAAAGAAAGACCUGCAAAAAGGUCACAAUGAACCAAUAGAAAAUAUUCAAUGGCUCUCAUUGUCUUGACUCAAUGUAGGCUUGGGGGGCGAUGUAGCACAUCCUAAGAGCCCAGCGAGGAAUAAACUGAGCCGUGAGGAAAUUGAGUUCCUGGGCUGGAGUGGAGCCCAAGGCCUGGAUGAGAUCCCUUACCACAUCUGCUUCCCUCAUAAGGGAUCCUUAACUCCCAGGCUCUGCCAGGUGGAAGCCAAACCAGCCCUGGGCCAGGAGCCAGAGCAAGGACUUACCUGGAAGGGACAUCUGCUAAGCUCUUUGAAACAAAUGCAAAAGCUGCUAUUUUAAUGAUCAUAAAUUCCUAUAGCAGGUUCCCCCAGUACCCUGGCUACCAUAUUAGCAGAAUCAUUUUUCAAUUUACUGGGUACAGAGGAGACUCAGUGCCCACGGCCAAGCAGAGGGUGUGUGUGUGUAUGUGUGUGUGUGUGUGUGUGUGUGUGUGUAUGUGUGUGUUUGUGUAUACACGUCUGCAUUUUUCAGGAGUGAGGAUAUUUGCAUAACAGGUAUCUUUGCAGAUACCAGACAAACAGGAAGUUUCAGAACCUAUGCCAUUUCCUUUCACUGUGAAUCAGCAGCCUCUUUCUUCUCAUACAGAAAUGAUGAAAUCACAGGGUAUGGCCCCGGAAUGUGAAGACCAGGAGAAGAGCACUAAGCCUUCAUAGUCACCUUCUUUGGUGGGUGGCUUCCCUGGACACUCACCCAUAGCUGCCCUCCUCAGGCCAUCGCUCUCCACCUUCCCAGCUUCUUAGAGUGCUUCAAGAGAUGUUUGACACCAGCCCUAAACAUAUUAGCAAACAGCCUCUAGUCACACAACACGUUACCUCAGUGCUGGUGAUGAGGCCCAGCAACAAGGCUAGGGGGAACCCCCACCUCCUAGUUCCUGGCCCCAGGUUUGCAUCACAGAGAGGCCCUGCCGAGUAAUGAGCACGCCCUGAUCUUGGCACCAGAAUACCUGGUUCAGACCCCUGCUCUAUCCAGAGAGACCUUGAGCAAGCUGCUUUCCCUCUGAGCCUUGGUUUCCCUGUUAGUUAAAUGGGCUGAUAAUGGCUCCCUGCAGAUCUGGGGCUAAUAAUGCAUGUGAAGGGUGGGGAAUUUAAAGCAGCAAUAAAAGCACAGGCUCUGGAGUCAGAUACCUGUGUUCAAAACCCAGCUCCAUUGUGUACUGGCUGUUGGACUUUGGGCAGGUUACCUGUUUUCCAAGUCUUAAUUUGACUAUCUGUAAAAUGGAGAUGAUAAGAAUAUCUACUUGCCAGUCUAUUGAGAGAGUUAAAUGAUACAUCUCUUAGCACUGAGCACAGCGUCUGGCUCAAAGAAAACUCAACAAUGUGAACCAGUUUUCCCACCGCCUCCUCCCUCCUUCCCCACCCAAAAUUGCAAGAUCCAUGAGGUAGGGACCACUGCUGAUCUUCACCAGUGUGUGCCCAGCACCUGGUUUGGCCCUAAUAAGGCUUGAUAAAUCAGUUGAAUGAAUGAAUGGAUGUUCCUAGUUCAUAGCAGGUGCUGAAGAAAUGUAUCUAUAUAAAAUAAAUUUAUAUGAAAGCCACAGGCCAAAUCAUGCUGUCUCUGUUUUUGAAAUUUCUAAAAGGACGGCAGUAUAGAAUAAUGAUUACAAACAUCAUAGGCUUAGCAGUCAGAUCUGGCAUGUCCUUUAACUUCUCUCAGCCUCUCUUUCCUGAUCUGUAAAAUGGGCACAAUUGGUAGCAACUCACCCAUGCUGGGUUGUUUCAGGGUUAAAUGAGAUAAUGCAUGCAAAGCACCUAACAUAGCACUCUGCACAUAAUAAGCAUGUGGAAGAAUGUAUCAGCUAAAUCCCAGUUUCAUGACCCUAGAAGAAGAUAAUACAAAGACUUGACUUUUUUCCCAAGAGGACAAGCCUUGGUACUGGCAUCCCUCAUGCCUCGUUGCUCUUGGUUCCCUCCUUCCCAACAGUAUCCCUCUCCGUCCUUAGGCCUAGUGGUCUGUUCUUGUUGAAGAACUGGAGCUUCUGAGGCCCAUCCCCCCCACCUCCUGCAGAGCCCACUCCCCGCUGACCUCACCCUACUGCACAGAAGUACAGGGAUGCAGGAGCCUUGUUUCUGCAAGGAAGACAGCACGCUCGCCCAGGCGUUUACUCUGAAGCAUGAGUGUUCAGCUCUGUCUUCAUGUCGUCUCUGCCACAGUAGUGCUCACUGGCCACUCCUCCAGGAGUAACUCCGGGACACAGUGGACACACAGGCUCAGCACCAAGCUCUAGAGUCGGACAGCCUGACUUUUCAUCCAGGGUCUGCUCAGACAAGCUGUUUGAUCUCAGGAGCCCCAUAAAGCAAGAACUAUUAUGAGCCCAUUUCACAGAUGAGUAAGGGGAGACCUGGGACUUCGGCCCAGAUCCACUGCACCCAGGGCCUGUGAGCUUCCCCACUGCACCCUCUGGCCUCCCUUCUCAGCCCUGCUGCUUCUCACUCGUCUCCUGCCGGGAGGGACAAGGUCCAGGGGGAGGCAAGGUCCAUGGGGCUGAGGAACUCAUGGCCAGAGUGUGGGCGGCUGAAUCGGCCAAACUCCAGAAUGCAAACCCACCUGGCUUUCUGGGCAGGUCAGGAUUCUGGGGCUGGCAUCCCACUGCCUCCCUGUCAGUCAGUGCGGAUGCAUGGUAACUCUCCCGUUAGCACAAAUGAAAAAAUCAGGAUGACUUCUGAAGCUGUGUGACGGCUCUGGUUUAGCCACUCGAACUAUUAAAUUUAGGCUUUGGGGACUGAAGUUAGAAGACCGAGGACUGGAUAACAUUAGCAGAAAGUACAGAGUUCCUGUAUACUUCCUCCCUCCACUCGUCAGUUUCCUCUAUUAUUAACACCUUGUAUUAGGGUGGUACAUUUAUUACAAUUGAUGAACCAAUAUUGAUACAUUAUUACUAACUAAAGUCCGUAGUUUACAUCAAGGUUCACUCUUGGUGUUGUACAUUCUAUAGGUUUUGACAAAUGUAUUCAACACAAAAGUCCUGGUUCACGCCUCCUCCAGAGCAGGGAAAUAACUGUAUGGCUUUCACAACCAGUUAAAAUUCAUUACUGCUGAGUGUACACAAAGAUGUCAUUUAUGUCAAG